GACGAACGCUGGCGGCGUGCUUAACACAUGCAAGUCGAACGGAGUGGCGAACGGGUGAGUAACACGUUGGUGACCUGCCCUGCACUUCGGGAUAAGCCUGGGAAACUGGGUCUAAUACCGGAUAGUGUGGGAUGGGCCCGCGGCCUAUCGGCUUGUUGGCGGGGUAAUGGCCUACCAAGGCGGCGACGGGUAGCCGGCCUGAGAGGGUGGACGGGCACAUUGGGGCUGAGGCACGGAGCAGAAUCCUACGGGAGGCAGCAGUGGAGAGUAUUACACAAUGGGCGGGAGCCUGAUGCGGAGGCGCCGGGUGGGGGAUGACGGCCUUCGGGUUGUAAACUCCUUUCACCAUCGACGCGGUAGAUGGAGAAGAAGCACCGGCUAACUACGUGCCAGCAGCCGCGGUAAUAC
rnacentral:rRNA from 1 species